rnacentral:rRNA from 1 species
UACAGAGGUCUCAACCGUUGUUCGGAUUCAUUGGGCGUAAAGGGUGCGUAGGCGGUCGGGUAAGUCGGUUGUGAAAUCUCAGGGCUCAACCCUGAAACUGCAUUCGAUACUGCUUGGCUAGGGUACUGGAGAGGAGACUGGAAUUUACGGUGUAGCAGUGAAAUGCGUAGAUAUCGUAAGGAAGACCAGUGGCGAAGGCGAGUCUCUGGACAGUUACCGACGCUGAGGCACGAAGGUCAGGGGAGCAAACGGG